rnacentral:rRNA from 1 species
GACGAGGGGUCCUAGCGUUGUUCGGAAUCACUGGGCGUAAAGCGUAUGUAGGCGGGUUUCUAAGUCAGGUGUGAAAUCCCAUGGCUCAACCAUGGAAUUGCAUUUGAAACUGGAAGUCUUGAAUGUGGGAGAGAUUGGUAGAAUACCUAGUGUAGUGGUGAAAAUACGUAGAUAUUAGGUGGAAUACCGGUGGCGAAGGC